UACGAAGGGUGCAAGCGUUACUCGGAAUUACUGGGCGUAAAGCGUGCGUAGGUGGUUCGUUAAGUCUGAUGUGAAAGCCCUGGGCUCAACCUGGGAAUGGCAUUGGAUACUGGCGACCUAGAGUCCGGUAGGGGAGUGUGGAAUUCCCGGUGUAGCGGUGAAAUGCGCAGAUAUCGGGAGGAACACCAGUAGCGAAGGCGGCACUCUGGGCCGGUACUGACGCUGAGGAGCGAAAGCGUGGGGAGCGAACAGG
rnacentral:rRNA from 1 species